GCCCGCCUAGCUCAAUCGGAUAGAGCGUCAGACUCUUAUAGUGAUGAUGGCAUUGGGUGAUCUGAAGGCUGCGAGUUCGACCCUUGCAGUGGGCU